UGAACAAUGCCAAUCAUAAAUAGCAAGAUCAGGAAAAAGAACAUUAAUAAACAUAGAUGCUGGACAAAUAUUUCACUCCAAUAAUGUGUCUUCAGUACAUUCAUCCAUAUAACUAUAAAUUUUGCAGUAGCUAUUUUAUUAGCAGAAGAAGGUACAUGGAGAGGAUCCUUCGUUAUAGUGCAAAAAACACUAUUAAUUAGGCUCACAGAAAAGCAGUCAAUUUGGUAGAAAGCUGUGAAUUGGUCAAAGACAAGUCUUUGUUACCACCACUAAUAACUCAUACCUAUAUCUGUGAUGCUGGGGGGACAAAAAGUCCAUAUAUCUAAUAUGUUGAGUCAUAGUCACAGACAACCAUUUCAUGAUGGACAAAAGCUUUGAAAUACAUGACUGAGAAGACAAAGUGGAAGAUUAGUUCAAGAGGUAAAGAUGCUCAUACAUUAAAAUCUGCAUGUCUAUUAAACUUACAUUUGCCAAUACAGAAAAACAUAUGCAUGCAUGCCAGGUAACCACCCCUCACCAUAGGUUCCAGAUUUCGCUCCAACACCCAUGUCCAUGUCACUGUGCAGCAAAUGUGUUGGCAGGGAUCAUAAUGUGACUUAGAGAGGAAUCUGAUGAUGCUGCAGCCACAUAUAUGGUUCAUGCCCACUUCUUCUAGUGGUUGUUUAUUUGGUUUCUCAUUUGAAAAAUGUAAUACAGACAGUUAUAAGACCAGACAAGAGGUAACAGUGCAGAUGUAAUAACAAUUGUUCCCUUUUACCAAGCCACAUACUCUUAGAUGAUUGCAGCUGAUGAUUAUAAUAAAUCUUGUUGCUAAAGGAAAUGUAAGAAAACUCACCAGAAAAGUUACUGAUCUUUAAUUGCUUUCACAGUAACUGAUCAGCUUUUUGCAUUGCUUAAAACUCUCUCCACCAGAUACAGCCAAUGAGCUAUUGGUUAACAUAUUUUGAGGAAGAGAUAAAAAUAACAAACGUCGCUUGCUGGGAGAAACAUCUGCAACAACAGUCUACAAUAUCCACAUUGAUGGGCUGGUUCCUGGUAGUUACGGCCUAAGCUCAAUCUAAGUCUUUCGAUUAAUUGACCUAAGGUUGCGUUUGAUGCAUUGCCAGGCAAUUUUAAUUUAGAUUACUUGAUAAUCUGGAUUAUCUGCAAUCUGGAUAGAUUGCUAGUAAUGUUAAUUACUGUGUUUGGUAUACGUAGGUAAUGUUGCAGUAAAAUUACUGGGAAUCUUGAUUGGCAUGUUUGGUAUGACAAUCAGGUUACGAAUAUUGUAACAUCAAAUUUUUAAAAUAUCCUAAAAUCAAAUUUAUUAAAAAUCACACCCCGUACACAAAAUUUUCAAUUUUUC
rnacentral:lncRNA from 1 species